GACGUAGGGCGCGAGCGUUGUCCGGAUUUAUUGGGCGUAAAGAGCUCGUAGGCGGUCUGUCGCGUCUGCUGUGAAAACUCAGGGCUUAACCCUGAGCUUGCAGUGGGUACGGGCAGACUAGAGUGCGGUAGGGGAGACUGGAAUUCCUGGUGUAGCGGUGAAAUGCGCAGAUAUCAGGAGGAACACCGGUGGCGAAGGCGGGUCUCUGGGCCGUAACUGACGCUGAGACGCGAAAGCGUGGGUAGCAAACAGG
rnacentral:rRNA from 1 species